AGGGUUUGAUUCUGGCUCAGGAUGAACGCUGGCGGCGUGCUUAACACAUGCAAGUCGAGCGGAGAUGUUUAAAAGCUUGCUUUAAAACAUCUUAGCGGCGGACGGGUGAGUAACGUGUGGGUAACCUGCCUUAUACUGUGGAAUAAUCACUUGAAAAGGUGACUAAUACCGCAUGUGGUCUCCGGAGGGCAUCCUCUGGAGAAGAAAGGAUUUAUUCGGUAUAAGAUGGACCCGCAUCUGAUUAGCUAGUUGGUGAGAUAAUAGCCCACCAAGGCAACGAUCAGUAGCCGACCUGAGAGGGUGAUCGGCCACAUUGGGACUGAGACACGGCCCAA
rnacentral:rRNA from 1 species